UGAGUUCACAGCCAGCUCACAGAAGGGUGGCCAUAACGAACUAUGAAUUUGAGGGAACACAGUUCCGUCUGUAACAAUCGUGUGGAAGCUGAACUUCAAACAGGGCCAUGAGUGUUGACGAACACUUGGAUUCAUGCAAUCACCACCACAAUCAAGACACAGAGCAGCUCCAUCGCUCCCAAAAUUUUUCUCAGUGUCACUUUGCAGUCAGCGCCUCCUUCUAGUCCUGAUCAUUCUCAACCCCCACAAUCACUGGUCUGCUCUCCGCUACUAUAGUUCUGCCUUCUCGAGGAUGUCAUAUAAAUAGAAUCAUACAGUUGGUGGCCUUUUGGUGCGGCAGCUCUCACAUUUGGGUUUCAUCCAUAUUGCUGCAUAUAUCAAGGUAGUUACCUUUAUUGCUGAGUAGUAUUCCAUGGUGUAGAUUUACCAGUUAGUUUAUUCCUUCACCAUCUGAAGGACAUGUGAAUUGGUAAACAUGGCUUUUACUUGUUGAAUGAUACUCCAUUCUACAAAUAUUCUAAAACCCAUGUAAAUAGUUCUGAUAUGGUUUGGCUCUGUAUCCCCACCUAAAUUUCAUAUUGAAUUGUGAUCCCCAGUGUUGAAGGUGGGGUCUGGUGGGAGGUGAUUGGAUCACGGAGGUGGUUUCGGAUGGUUUAGCACCAUCACCUAGUGCUGUCUCAUGACAGAGUUCUCACGAGAUCUGGUGGUUUGAAAGCAUGUAGCACCUCCCCCUUCACUCCCUUCCUCCUUCUCUGGCCAUGUAAGACAUGACUGCUUCCCUUUUGCCUUCCAUGAUGAUCGUAAGUUUCCUGAGGCCUCCCCAGCCAUGCUUCCUGUAAGCCUGUGGAACAGAGAGGUGAAGCCAGCUGGACUUCCUAGGUCGAGAGGGGACUUGGAGAGCUUUUCUGUCUAGCUAAAGGAUUGUAAAUGCACCGAUCAGCACUCUGUGUCUAGCUAAAGGAUUGUAAAUGCACCAGUCAGCACUCUGUAAAAACACACCAGUCAGCACUCUGUGUCCAGCUAAAGGAUUGUAAACGCACCAAUCAGCACUCUGUGUCUAGCUAAAGGAUUGUAAAUGCACCAGUCAGCACUCUGUAAAAACACACCAGUCAGCACUCUGUGUCCGGCUAAAGGAUAGUAAACACACCAAUCAGCACUCUGUGUCUAGCUAAAGGAUUGUAAAUGCAUCAAUCAGCACUCUGUAAAAUGGACCAAUCAGCGCUCUGUAAAAUGGACCAAUCAGCAGGAUGUGGGUGGGACCAAAUAAGGGAAUAAAAGCUGGCCACCGAGCCAGCAGUGGCAACCAGCUUGGGUCCCCUUCCACAUUGUGGAAGCUUUGUUUUUUCGCUCUUCACAAUAAAUCUUGCUGCUGCUCACUCUUUGGGUCCGCACUACCUUUAAUAGCUGUAACACUUGCCGCGAAGGUCCGCAGCUUCAUUCUUGAAGUCAGCGAGACCACGAACCCACCAGAAGGAAGAAACUCCAGACACAUCUGAAGGAACAAACUCUGAACACACCAUCUUUAAGAGCUGUAACACUCACUGCAAAAGUCCAUGGCUUCAUUCUUGAAGUCAGCAAGACCAAAAACCCAGAGGUUGUCACAAUUUUGUCACAAUUCUGGACACAGAACU
rnacentral:lncRNA from 1 species